UACGUAGGGGGCAAGCGUUGUCCGGAAUCAUUGGGCGUAAAGAGCGUGUAGGCGGCUCGGUAAGUCCGCUGUGAAAGUCCAGGGCUCAACCCUGGAAUGCCGGUGGAAACUGUCGAGCUAGAGUCCGGAAGAGGCGAGUGGAAUUCCCGGUGUAGCGGUGAAAUGCGCAGAUAUCGGGAAGAACACCCGUGGCGAAGGCGGCUCUCUGGGACGGUACUGACGCUGAGACGCGAAAGCGUGGGGAGCGAACAGG
rnacentral:rRNA from 1 species